rnacentral:rRNA from 1 species
GGGCACGUGCGGCGUGCAUAUAAUGCGAGUUGAGCGCUGAAGGUUGGUACUUGUACCGACUGGAUGAGCAGCGAACGGGUGAGUAACGCGUGGAGGAAUCUGCCUUUGAGCGGGGGACAACAUUUGGAAACGAAUGCUAAUACCGCAUAACAACUUUAAACACAAGUUUUAAGUUUGAAAGAUGCAAUUGCAUCACUCAAAGAUGAUCCCGCGUUGUAUUAGCUAGUUGGUGAGGUAAAGGCUCACCAAGGCGAUGAUACAUAGCCCACCUGAGAGGGUGAUCGGCCACAUUGGGACUGACACACGGCCCAAACUCCUACGGGAGGCAGCAGUAGGGAAUCUUCGGCAAUGGACGAAAGUCUGACCGAGCAACGCCGCGUGAGUGAAGAAGGUUUUCGGAUCGUAAAACUCUGUUGGUAGAGAAGAACGUUGGUGAGAGUGGAAAGCUCAGCAAGUGACGGUAACUACCCAGAAAGGGACGGCUAACUACGUGCCAGCCGCCGCGGUAAUACGUAGGUCCCGAGCGUUGUCCGGAUUUGUUGGGCGUAAAGCGAGCGCAGGUGGUUUAUUAAGUCUGGUGUAAAAGGCAGUGGCUCAACCAUUGUAUGCAUUGGAUACUGGUAGACUUGAGUGCAGGAGAGGAUAGUGGAAUUCCAUGUGUAGCGGUGAAAUGCAUAGAUAUAUGGAGGAACAUAGGUGGUCAUGGCUGCUCUCUGGCCUGUCACUGAUACUGAGGCUCGAAAGCGUGGAGAGCAGCUUUCAUUAGAUACGUUGGUACUCAUCUCUACACACUAUGAG